AUGGCUGUUGUAUGUGAAAUCUGUGGAGAUGUUGGUUAUGGACAUCUUUUGCUAUCUUGCGAUCACUGCAAGUGUGCCAUGCACCAAUACUGUCUGGCCAAGGUUCUUUUUGAUGGAUCAUUAGUAGAACGCUGGUUCUGUGAUGAAUGCCUGCCAAAGCGUGGUGAAGUUACUUAUGAGGGAUUUUUGCAGAAGGCGCCAAAACAUACUCGUUCUGGUUCUGCAGUACGCCGGGCAAGUACCAUAAGUGUGAGGUCAACAAGGGAAGCAGGGCCAUGUAGAAACCAUAAGAGUAAGUCAGAGAAGUCUAAAAGUAAAUCUCGAAGAAAGAAAUGUUUGUCAAGCAAGAAUUCUAUGCUAAGGAAGCACAAACAAAAGGGGUCAGAUAUGCAACCAAUGGGUAACAAGACCAUUACACGAGAUUGCAAUGCUCCCAAUAUUUAUUGUGAUAGUGAGAAGGAACUUCAUUCCUGUGAAGUCAUGUCCAUUGAAACAUCCAAGGCCGGCAAAGCGGAGAAUCAGCAGAUUGACCAUGGACAUUGUGUUCAUACAUUAAACAAUGAUUGUGUUGCAAAUUGCUUGCCCGCAAGGGUAAAACAAAUCAAUCUCCAAAACCCAUUGGAUGAAUUUGAACCUCCUCUAGGUGAUGCAAGGCAAUUGAACCCCUCAAAGGACAGUGACUGCCUGUCGCCAGGGAACGUUGGAAUUGAAAAUCCAAAGGGUCAUGUUACACCAGUCAUAGCACGGGGAAAUCAGAGUGUACCCAAUAUUUCUUGUGAUAGUGGGAAGGCACUUAAUUCUUGUGAAGUCAUGACCAUUGAAACAUCCAAGGCCGGCAAAGAGGAGAGUCAGCAGAUUGGCCAUGGACAUUGUGUUCAUACAUUAAACAAUGAUUGUGUUGCAAAUUGCUUGCCAGCAAGGGUAAAACAAAUCAAUCUCCAAAACCCAUUGGAUGAAUUUGAACCUCCUCUAGGUGAUGCAAGGCAAUUGAACCCCUCAAAGGACAGUGACUGCCUGUCGCCAGGGAAUGUUGAAAUUGAAAAUCAAAAGGGUCAUGUUACACCAGUCGUAGCACGGGGAAAUCAGAGUGCACCAUCAACACUACUGGAUCAGGUGGAUUCAGGUUCCUUCCCAGGAACCAAUUUGAAAGAAAUCGUUCUUCUGGAGGACAGUGAUACAUCAGCGGAACUUUUUUAUACUGUUGAGAAUUGUGUUAAGGACAAUCAAGGGAAGCAAACACAGCUCAUUAUACUGGACGAUGAUGAAGAAGAGGCUGCGGAUGUGCAGUCAGAAGAUUAUAAUCAUCGGUCGCUUGAGUGUGAUGGACCACUGAACAAGCGUAGAAUAGGCAUGGAAGAUUGUGUCGAACAAGCUGUACAGACUGGUGAUUUGAAUGGUCAAAAUCUCAAUGCUGUACACCUAGAUAUUUUGAUUCCUGAAUCUUGUGAGAUUACUCAGCCUGUGAAGAAACGGAGGAGAAAUAUAGAGGAGAAUGAAGAUAACAAAGAUGAAGAGGUUUUAAUAGGUACCAGUAAUCGUAAAUGUGCUCUUGAUGAUGCUUCAAAGUUGACAUCAGAAACUUUAGUUGCAACGGAUCCUGUUCUCGGAUCCAGAAUGGCAUUUGAUUCAGAGUUUGCCAAUCAGCAAUGUUCUAUGUACUCACAACCCACUGAUGAACCUAUCUGGAGUGGAAUACUUAAGAUAAACAACGAAGUAUAUAUCUCGUUGACUGCACACCUGUCGACCACAGCUUGUGGGUUCGUGCGGGAAUUGUCAAGGUCGUUGCGACCAGUAGUUAAAGUAAUCAAGCUCCCUCAGUUGGAAGCCUGGCCACAGAGUUGGAGGACUUCAAGACCUACUGAUGGCGACAUUGCAUUGUAUUUCUUCCCGCCCAGUGCGAGCCCAAAUGAAGAAUCGGAUGGUCCAGUGGAGGAAAUCAUUGAUAGUGGUGCUGUCUUACAAGCUGUUAUUGGUGUCGCUGAGCUGCUAAUCUUCCCCUCCACAAUGUUGCCAGCGCAAUAUCAUUUGUGCCAGGGCAAACGCUACCUGUGGGGGAUGUUCAAGCGUAGGGAAGAUGAGUCCGACAAAGAUCAUCUAGUUGAACAACAAUAUGAUUCAGCAUGUGCCAAAGAAGGGGAGAUACAAGAACACAUUUUUAUGGACCGGCAAUAUGAAGUACAAUGUGAGUCACCAGAUCAUGAAACUUCCGCUGUGAAGCAUGUCGUGCAUGUUGAGAAUCAAAUGCUGGUGGAGCAGAACUGUGGAGGGCAAGAGGCGACGAUGAGUGCUACGAUGGGCCUUCACUCACCUGGCAACAAUCCGUCAUCCGCAGAGCCGAACCCACCAAAGGCUAGAUCAAACUGUUUCACACAGCCAAGAGCUGACAGUAAACCAGAUAUGCCUGAAGAAGUGGACCACCAAGAUGAGAAAAACUUCAUCAAGCCAUCAGCUGACCCUGCGGGACCUGCUGCAGCCACUCCCAGUUCAAUCGAUUCUACCGAGUGUGGGGCAGCGCCUCCCAUGACCCAAUUGUUUGGAUUUGUCACGGCUCGGACACCAAGAGCGCAGAAGCUCAUCCAGGAGAUGGUCAGCGAAGGUGCGCUGUUAUUUUCGGUGGCUGAAGAGAUAGCGACUGGCGGAUCUGCAGUAGGCAGUAAUACUGGAGCACAAGUACAUCUGGCACCUGACAGUGCGUCUCCGCCUAUGCAGGAGCGCUGCCAGCCCAUCGGAUUCGUUCCACUGGAUGAUGAUGUGGCUUCUGAAGCCUGCCUGGAACUGUUCCCAGUUCGGCAGGGGCAUAUUGGAUGGACUCCUAGGGUAGAAACUAGCAAGGAGGUAGAUCUUGACCUGAGCCUUAGUGCGCGUUCCCGAGCAUCGUGUGGGUCAAUCCUGUAA
rnacentral:rRNA from 1 species